rnacentral:rRNA from 1 species
GCAAGCCUGAUCCAGCAAUGCCGCGUGUGUGAAGAAGGCCUUCGGGUUGUAAAGCACUUUUGUUAGGGAGGAAAGUCUGGUAGCUAAUAACUGCUAGAUCUGACGUUACCUAAAGAAUCAGCACCGGCUAACUCUGUGCCAGCAGCCGCGGUAAUACAGAGGGUGCAAGCGUUAAUCGGAAUUACUGGGCGUAAAGGGUCUGUAGGCGGAUUAUUAAGUCGGAUGUGAAAUCCCCGGGCUCAACCUGGGAACGGCAUUCGAUACUGGUAGUCUAGAGUGUGCAAGAGGAUGGGGGAAUUCCUGGUGUAGCAGUGAAAUGCGUAGAGAUCAGGAGGAACAUCAAUGGCGAAGGCACCUUUCUGGGGCAACACUGACGCUGAGAGACGAAAGCGUGGGGAGCAAACAGGAUUAGAUACCCUGGUAGUCCACGCCCUAAACGAUGUCAACUAACUGUUCGGAGUCACUAAGAUUCUGAGUAGUGAAGCUAACGCGAUAAGUUGACCGCCUGGGGAGUACGGCCGCAAGGUUGAAACUCAAAGAAAUUGACGGGGGCCCGCACAAGCGGUGGAGUAUGUGGUUUAAUUCGAUGCAACGCGAAGAACCUUACCCGGUCUUGACAUGGUAGGAAUCUUGUAGAGAUACGAGAGUGCCUUCGGGAACC